rnacentral:rRNA from 1 species
GAAGUUUUCGGAUGGAAGCGAAGAUGUAUGUUCUAGCGGCGGACGGGUGAGUAACGCGUGAGCAACCUGUCCCUCACAGGGGGAUAACACAGCGAAAGUUGUACUAAUACCGCAUAAGACCACGGGAGGACAUCCUCCUGGGGUCAAAGGAGCAAUCCGGUGAGGGGUGGGCUCGCGUCCGAUUAGAUAGUUGGUGAGGUAACGGCCCACCAAGUCGACGAUCGGUAGCCGACCUGAGAGGGUGAUCGGCCACAUUGGGACUGAGACACGGCCCAAACUCCUACGGGAGGCAGCAGUGGGGAAUAUUGGGCAAUGGGGGGAACCCUGACCCAGCAACGCCGCGUGAGGGAAGAAGGUUUUCGGAUCGUAAACCUCUGUCCUUGGUGAAGAGGAAGAGACGGUAGCCAAGGAGGAAGCCCCGGCUAACUACGUGCCAGCAGCCGCGGUAAUACGUAGGGGGCGAGCGUUGUCCGGAAUGAUUGGGCGUAAAGGGCGCGUAGGCGGCCGUUUAAGUCUGAAGUGAAAGUCCUGCUUUUAAGGUGGGAAUUGCUUUGGAUACUGGAUGGCUUGAGUGCAGGAGAGGUAAGUGGAAUUCCCAGUGUAGCGGUGAAAUGCGUAGAGAUUGGGAGGAACACCAGUGGCGAAGGCGACUUACUGGACUGUAACUGACGCUGA